rnacentral:rRNA from 1 species
AGUGCGACGGGGGGAUCCCAAGUGUUAUGCUUUUUUGUAUGACUUUUCAUUAGUGUAAAAAGCUUUUAGAAUAAGAGCUGGGCAAGACCGGUGCCAGCCGCCGCGGUAACACCGGCAGCUCGAGUGGUAGCUGUUUUUAUUGGGCCUAAAGCGUUCGUAGCCGGUUUGAUAAGUCUUUGGUGAAAGCUUGUAGCUUAACUAUAAGAAUUGCUGGAGAUACUAUUAGACUUGAAGUCGGGAGAGGUUAGAGGUACUACCGGGGUAGGGGUGAAAUCCUAUAAUCCUGGGAGGACCACCUGUGGCGAAGGCGUCUAACUGGAACGAUCUUGACGGUGAGUAACGAAAGCCAGGGGCGCGGACCGGAUUAGAUACCCGGGUAGUCCUGGCCGUAAACGAUGUGGACUUGGUGUUGGAAUGGCUUUGAGUUGUUCCGGUGCCGAAGGGAAGCUGUUAAGUCCACCGCCUGGGAAGUACGGUCGCAAG